GCGCCAAGCCUCCGAGCGCCUGCCAGAUAGGCAAUGCCCUUUCCCGCCCACCACCACUGUGGAACUGGUGGCCUACCCGCCCCUGUCGGCUCCGCCGAUCCCGGCCGGAAGUGGGUCUGGCGGAGGACCGCCGAGAGAACCCGGAGAGAGAGGUUCUGAGAGCAGUUCGUGAGAAUCGUUUGAUGGAGAAAGGUCGACGGAAGAUCCACCUGCCUCGACGCUGUGACACGCCCACACCAUGUGCUCUCCUGCUACCAACAGCCCUGCGGGGCUUUCUGUGACGGGCGACAAGAUGUUUAGAAUGGGCUAGGCCUCUCUCCAGAAGGCCGCCCCAAUGCCUUGAUGCAUUUUGACCCUUGACCUUGACCGUUGACCUCUGCUACCACCUGGGGGCUGACCACCAUGGAGCGCCUACAAGAAGCUUGGCUUUCAGUCUCCUCUAUUUUUUCCUGCUCUCCAGAUGAGAAGCCUCCUUAAGGGCUGUGUUUAAUUCACUUUUCAUUAUGUACUGUAGCCAUGAAGCCUAAAGUGCCUUGUACCUGCCUAUUGACCCUCUGACCCUGUACGACCAGUUCUAACGCUGUUUGUUUCCAAAUUGUUUGCACCCUGUGUAUGGUGUUUUGGUGAUACAUGUGUAGAAGUGAGUGUCGACAAAGAGUGUGGUUCUGUGUUACCACGUUUUGUCUGUGGAUGUACCUAGAUGCUUGUAUGAGUAUUGAGUAUUUGUUACCUCGUCGACUGGUCUACUACUGUGCAAAGUGAUGUCUGCGUCUCUUGUAAUCCUCAUAAAUUUUGUAGAGUUUUACGCAACUUUUGCAAUUGAUUUCAGUGAGUAAAUAUGGUCUGGUUUGAGGUACCCUGGUGUAUAUCAACUGUAAAUGUGAAUGUUUCUGUUGCUGCAGAUGUUUAAAUAUGGCUAUAGAUUUGUCGUUUUGUUUGUCUGUUUAAUUCUGGGUAUAGUGUGUAAAAUUGUAAUGUGUAUGUCUAGUGUGUAUUACUACUGUGGAUGUAUUGAUCUUUAAUAGGUAGUGUUACGCUACUAUUGUUAAAAUAUUGUGUAUGAUUCUUGUAUGAUUGUGUUUGAUUUGAGUGAGAUUCAUGUAUGAUCCUUAUGUAUUAAUUUGUUUUCAUGUUUGAGUAAAAAUGUGGGUUCGAGCACCACGUUAACUUGUUCACAUUGUUAAAUGUUUUGUCCUUUUGCUCGACUAAAUGAUUAAAAUAAAAUAGCAGUGUUUUUCAAUA